GACGAACGCUGGCGGCGCGCCUAACACAUGCAAGUCGAGCGGGGUCUUUUGAAGUGCUUGCACAUUGGAAGACCUAGCGGCGGACGGGUGAGUAACACGUGAGCAACCUGCCUUACAGAGGGGGAUAACGCCUGGAAACGGGCGCUAAUACCGCAUAAGAUCCCGGCAUCGCAUGAUGGAGGGAUAAAAGGAGCAAUCCGCUGUAAGAUGGGCUCGCGCCCGAUUAGAUAGUUGGCGGGGUAACGGCCCACCAAGUCGACGAUCGGUAGCCGGACUGAGAGGUUGAACGGCCACAUUGGGACUGAGACACGGCCCAGACUCCUACGGGAGGCAGCAGUGGGGGAUAUUGCACAAUGGGGGAAACCCUGAUGCAGCGACGCCGCGUGAGUGAAGACGGCCUUCGGGUUGUAAAGCUCUGUCAACGGGGACGAUAAUGACGGUACCCGUGGAGGAAGCCACGGCUAACUACGUGCCAGCCGCCGCAGUAACAC
rnacentral:rRNA from 1 species